rnacentral:rRNA from 1 species
UACAGAGGGUGCAAGCGUUGUUCGGAAUUAUUGGGCGUAAAGCGCGUGUAGGCGGCUUUGCAAGUCGGGUGUGAAAGCCCUCGGCUCAACCGAGGAAGUGCGCCCGAAACUGCAGAGCUUGAGUACCGGAGAGGAUGGCGGAAUUCCCCAAGUAGAGGUGAAAUUCGUAGAUAUGGGGAGGAACACCGGUGGCGAAGGCGGCCAUCUGGACGGAUACUGACGCUGAGAGACGAAGCGGUGGGAGCAAACAGG